AUUGAAGCUCUGUGUCAAUGAUGUCUCGAUUCAAUCAUAGCUGCACAAAUUGGCCACAACUUUUUAGAUAAUGGAAGGUAGUAUGAUUGUUGGUUAUUUGUAGCUUUAGAUAAUUGAAGCAGAUCAGGUGACAUAUGUCAUUGAAUUUAUUGUGCAUGGCUGAACUUUGGUAUCUUUUCCAUAACAAUCAUGUGUUAUGUACUACCCGGUGAAUGUCAUUUUGAUACGUGGUUAAGGGCAUGUGUUCUUGAGGUUAAUUCUGGUAUUCAUCUUCGACCGCAAAGAUAGAGCAGCUUAAUUAUCGUGUACCUCAGAAAAGCAUCAUAGUGAAGUAUUUUAGCGAUCACAAAGAUCUUAAGAAUUCAUCUCUGCAGUGAGCUCUAUUGCAGGACUCUCCCCUCUGAGAUGAUAUUUCAGAGGAGUCUUAGCUUUCGAUCUCAUAAACUACUCACGGAUGUUCUGUCUGUGUUCUGUGCAUGCCCCGAGCUACGAAGCAUCAAUAUUUUUUUUUUAGGUUGUUAUGUACAUAUAAUCGUAGGUGUCCGCUGCGUAUGUAAUUAUGUGGAAUUUAUCUGAUGGUGUGUCCACUGUCCCUAAGGCAACACUUUAU